GGCGGACGGGUGAGUAACGCGUAGGAAUCUACCUAGUAGAGGGGGACAACAUGUGGAAACGCAUGCUAAUACCGCAUACGCCCUAAGGGGGAAAGGAGGGGGCUUUUCGGAGCCUUCCGCUAUUAGAUGAGCCUGCGUAAGAUUAGCUAGUUGGUAGGGUAAAGGCCUACCAAGGCGACGAUCUUUAACUGGUCUGAGAGGAUGACCAGUCACACUGGGACUGAGACACGGCCCAGACUCCUACGGGAGGCAGCAGUGGGGAAUAUUGGACAAUGGGCGGAAGCCUGAUCCAGCCAUGCCGCGUGUGUGAAGAAGGCCUUAGUGUUGUAAAGCACUUUCAGGGGUGAGGAAGGGUAGCUAGUUAAUACCUAGUUAUCUUGACGUUAGCCCCAGAAGAAGCACCGGCUAACUCUGUGCCAGCAGCCGCGGUAAUACAGAGGGUGCAAGCGUUAAUCGGAAUUACUGGGCGUAAAGCGCGC
rnacentral:rRNA from 1 species